CCUGUCCGGAUAUUUCCAUCGAGUUAAGAGUUUCGUAAAGCAAAUCGAAUCAAUGCAUCAUGUUUAUCUUACGCCAGAUGCAGAUACUCCUCCAGGUCCAGCGCUACCCGUUCCAGCUCCAGAACCGGUUCCAGACCCACCUGGAAAUCCUCCGAAUCCUGGCUGAAGGACUCCUCCUUGUUGGAGACCGGCUGAUUGGAGACCCCCAAAUCCAGGUUGUUGGGCAUAUCCAGGUUGUUGGGCAUGCCCACCUUGCUGCAAAGCUGCUGGCCUACCGAACCCUCCGUACUGGAGUCCAGGCUGACCGAAUAAGCCUUGAGGUAAUCCACCGCUGCUUCCGUCACCAGUACCAGUAGCUGCAGCUUCGCCUGUAAAAGUGUUGAGAUUAGCGGUUCCGGUGCCGGAAGAAGUACCAAAUCCACCAUCCUGAGCGCUCGAGAUGCCGACCUGUUGUUGGCAAACGUAAAUGCAACGUAAAAGGCAAACUUUGCUGUUUUUCCAGUGGUGAAUUAUUCAAGUCAAUUAUUUCUUACGCCUGAUGCAGAAGCUCCUCCGGGUCCAGCGUUACCAGUUCCGGCUCCAGCACCGGUUCCCGAGCCAGCUGUUUAAAAUAUUGCAACGUUAGCACUUAGCACAAAUAUUCGAAAAGUAGAAUAUUAUUUUGGAAAGCGACACUAAUAAACAAAAUGAUUGUCUUUAUUUACUUAAAGCAGUGGGCCCCAGGAAACCGCUUUGCUGGAAACCUGGUUGUCCAAAUCCACCUUGAUAGUAACCAGGCUGCUGGCCGAAUUGCUGGAACCCAGGCUGGCCGAAGCCGCUUUGUGGAUGACCGUGGCCACCACCAAACGGACGGUAACGUUGCGGCAUAGCCAUGGCAACAGCCAUAAGAGCAAGAGUUAUAGUAACCUGCCGGACAAAUCAAAGACAGAGUUGAAUUAAUGUCGAGCUAUUUCGAACGACGAGAUUCGACCAUCAUAUGACUAGACGAAUCAGCCAACCUUAUGCUUUUAUACGCUCGUUCAUACUGCCCGCCGACCACCAAAAAGGCUUGAGGCCUGCAAAUAAACCUUGAUAUCACGGUCGAAAUUUUUUUGCUCAUCACGAUUUCUCAAACCUUUUUUUCUUUCCUUGCGCAAGACUGACUUUUAUCGACACGAAAUCGCCUUUUUGAUUUUCUUUCCUAGAUCUGCCGUUUGAUAUUACAAGAUAAAGCUUUGAAUAGCAUUAUUUUUACAUUUAAAAUUAUUAUUAUUAUUUUUUUUUUUAAUUUUGGUAUUCAUUUCCCCUCCAAAUUUUAUGUCAAUUAGAUUGCGAAAGUAAAACAACAUUCUUGGCAACUCAGGUGACAGCAGACGACGCAGACAGAAAAGCUCGUUAGUUUUUACGUUCAUGGCUAGUUGACACACUUGAUGACAGUUUUUUAAUGUUUGCAUCGUGACAUCUCCGAUGUCACCGUCUGUAUAAGGUUUCGUGUAUAAAGUUUCGAAGAACCCAUUGUCUUGCUUCGAUUUCUUCCUACUCAACAAGUUCAAACUGGUUCGUAUUUUAAACAUUUGGCUUCAAUUUUAUUGUCUGCAAAAGUUGAUGUGCAGCCCGAAACUUUUUAGCGUGAAAGAAGUUCUUUAUUGUAGGGCGGAUGCGGAUUUUUAUCUUGAGUUUUGAAGGGCACCUACAACUUUGGUUAUUUUUCGUGCUGCUCUUUUUAUAUCCGCACUCUCGACCCCACAGGGGAUCCUAAAGAUUUAUCAAGCUCACGCAUGCACGAUUGUUGCAUAAACAGUUGCUUAGCGUAAGAAUUGAUAAUCGAGUUGCUCGUUUCUUUUCUUUUUUCAAGAUUUAUUCUCCUUUUGUUGGGUUUUCUUUUGGGCCCCACAACGGUAGAAGGCCAUCGACCGGUUCCAAACAAAGCCGUACACUCGGGUUUUUCUGUAUUAUUAAAUAUUCAACCACCAUAAUGGACGCGUGUUGUCCAUUGAUGGCAAUUACUGCACUCUAGAAGCUAAGUUAAGUUUGAUAGUAAAAGGAUAGAAUGGGAGGGCUGAAAAAAGUUAAUACAAACAGGAAAAUGGAUGAGAACCACUUUUGACUUGGAACUGCUGCGAGAUGAAUUGAUAUGUUUACGGUGAACGUCAAUGAGUUUUCCAGCUCGUACAUUUCGAUUCAAAAUAGUAGGAAAGACUUGUCUAGCCUGAAAAACCUGUUUGAUCUGGUUUGAGCAGGUUACAGCCCGAUGCACGCACGCACGCACGCACCCAAAUCUUCUUCUCUUUAUUAGAAUGGACGUUCGUAAAAUUUACAAAUGUGUAAAGUGUAAUGGAGCUCGACCAAAAAAAAACCCGGCUUUGUUGAUGCUCACCACGUGUUGUUGAUAUUUAUUAUACCCGAACGGUAGAUUCCCAAAACUUGUUGUUAGCUUUUGCCGUGAUCAGAUUUCAUCAGACACAAUGUUGCUUAAUUCAAAAAAAAAGAUGAACAGUCAUCUUUUUCUGCUUUUUUUGUUGUUGUACCAACUUUGAUUAGAUUUCUUUGUAAAUUGCACUGCAUGACAAGGUUUUGGCUAUCUCAUGCCCGUUCGUUUAUUUAUUGAAUUCCCUCUGUGAUUUCAUUUCUUGAUUGUUGUCUGCGAUCGCUCGUGUUUUCAAGGGCAUUCCAGCCGUUACGCAGCAGAUUUUUGAAUUUUAUUUAUUUAUUUUUUUUUUUCCUUUUGUUUAAAUGACAACUAUUCUUUGGCAGGUUGCCUGCAUUUUUUUAAGGACACUACUUUCCAAUGAAAUCUCAGGUUACUGGGGACGAAUUGAAAUGAUAGCGAAUAUUCAAAUUUUGGCCUGGGUGGAAUAUAAAGAACCUCUUAGCUGUAAAUAGCUUUAACUUGACUAGAUGAUAAAAAUGCAGCCAACAGAAUCCGUUUGGCUUGGAUCACGGCCUCGAUUUUAACACUUACUAAAUAACUCUCCGCCCUGGUUUUUACAAGAUUUGACACAAGUUUGAACAAAGUGCCUUUCACCUUCGACUUUCUAAUUAGCCGUUAGCGACCAAGUUCUUUCCUAGUUUCAGCGAUAACUACAAUUGAAGCGCAAGAGAGAUCGCAUUCUGAGAAUAUUACAAUUUUUCUUUCCAUCUUGUUAACUUCCUCGACUCCCGAAAAGGUAGCCCCACAAACAUAGCCUAGGCAAGUUUCAAAUCCGGUUUUCUCAGCGAAGGUAUUUUGAACCCAACAAGUUUGUGAGCCAGCCAGGUGAGGAGUAAAUCAAUGCAGCAGACUACGGUGAAUUACAACAUUGGGUUCAGAAUUUGCAUAUAUGGAAAUAAUAAGCGCAACUAUCCGCCUGUAUUAAGGCACGCGCGGUCAGCAGUCAUUGACACGUUAUUUUCUAGUUUUGGUGUUGAGGCCUUAAUCUAUCGAUUCUGAUCACGUUUCUGACAUCGAUAACAGUGGUUUUAUGGAUGUGAAAUGUCUCGUAUGAUUAUAUCUUAAGUGCGCCAUUACAAUUUUUAAAGGAUGGAUACUUUUUUUCUAGUUCCUUUUUUUAUUGUUAUCUUUUACCUGAAUUAAAAAGUGAUUGGGGAAAUACCCAAGACUUAAAAAAGAGAGGAAAUGUUUUUUUCUUGUUAAAGAAACAUCAAACAGCGAUAGUUUGUGGAGACAAAGAUUGCAGGAAAAACUGCGCAGUUAUAGGCACUCUCUUUUUAUUUAUUCGCCUCGUAACUGUGAAUAAUAGCAACCUUGAUAAUACAUGUAUUAUCAUUUAAAUGCCAUUGUAUGUAGCUGGGAAAACCCAACUGGUGAAUUUCACUUUUGCCUAACCCAACAUUUAUUAAAGUACGUCCUUGCUGUUGACGGUCGGUCCUCCACCCUUCGUGCAAGUGCAGUUUCUCUGUAAAACUCUGUGAGAAAAAUAUCAAAUCAUUUCUGAAAUGAAGUUUAGCUAGGUUCAUGCCUUUAAGGCGAUAUUAUAUUCUGUAUGGAUUUAUUUUAGUUUUUGAUUUCACCGGUAAUUUUGGCAACGAAUUCAGUUUCCUCGUACAGUAUGUUUUUCUUAACACUAGGUGUCACCAGGAAGUUUUGUUUUGUUUUGUUUUGUUUUAAAAAUUGGGCGGUUUAAAAUAAGGAAAGCUUUUUUCGUUACAUGACAGUUGACAGACAGUUUCUCUUGUUAUUUCAUUUCAUUAGGCAAUUCUUUACAAAUAAUAAUUAGUUGGAUAUGACAUUAUUUUAACAGGUACGAAGCUACUUUAUGUUGAUAUACUACUAGUUAGGUUGACUUUAAUGGAAAGGAACUACUCUUAACUGAUUAGGUAGUUAAUCAAAGUUGCCAAUAAGUCUUUUCUAAUUUUGGUGUGGUAUAUCCUAAUCUUGGGAGUAGAAUAUUGCCGAGACUUCUCAGUCAAAAAGAAAAGAGCCAGGUCACUUUUUACGAAAUAAAUGCUGUACAUCCUACACAGACUUACACACAGCAUCCCAACUUGUGUGACAAAACAAUUGUAUUUUAUACAAAUCAAAAAUAUGAAACAUACAGUAGUUGAAUUUAAAUGCGCAUGUCUUUUACAGAAAAGCAAAAACAAAUUAGCCAUAGUCAGUUUAUUUUCCAAAGCUGCUUCCGGUACCCUGUCCUGUGGCGCCAGCUUGACCGAAGGGACCGAGGAAUCCUGUUCCGCUUCCGGAAGCUGUACCGAAUCCGCCGUUCUGGGCGCUUGAAAUGGCAACCUAAACAAAGAGUGUCAUUAUUUUCAAUUCAAUCAAAACGAGUAAACAAAAGUCAUUGUUAAUCAAAAUGAAUUCUUACGCCGGAUGCAGACACUCCACCAGGGCCAGCACUACCCGUUCCAGCUCCAGCACCGGUUCCACUACCUCCUGUUGCGGAAUUGGGGUUAAAUGGGAUUCUAAACGAAAAUGGAUUCUGAAUGGUGGAUCUUACCGAAGUUAUUGAAUCCGCCGAAUCCUCCAAAACCUGGCUGCUGGAAGCCACCAGGACGGGGACGGAAAGGUCGCUGUGGCAUAGCCACGGCAACAGCCACAAUAAGAGCGAGGAUAAAUGUUACCUGUUUAACAACGAAGGAAAAGGUUAGAAAAGUCGUGAAGACGUGCAGCAAAGCUGUUUUCCACAGCUGCUUCCGCACUUGCUUGGCCGUUUCAAAAGGAUGAGCGCCACCUCGACCGAAGGGACUGAGGGGAGUCCCGUUUCGCUUCCGGAAAUUAAAAUUUGGUGCCAAAUCAACCCUUCGCGUCCCUUCGUCCAGCGCUACCAGUUCCAGCUCUUUCCGCUGACUAGUACCGAAUCCAGAAUCCCCUGAUUAAACGCAUGAGUGGGUCGAGUGAAGAAAAGGGAAAAUGCAAAAUUGUAGUUCCAGAUGAAACCGUUACUCCCAAACUGGUGGAACACAAGACCCCAAAAGCGGAGUUGAUUAUCUCCCUGGAUGAACUUGAUGUCAGCAAAUCAAAAAUCAAGUUGAACUGUGGCUGCUCCUUGGUGCUGGUGUCCAGGUGCGGAAGCAUAAUGCAUAAUUUUAUUUGUGUUUUUGGAAUAAAUUCAAUGACAUUUUUAAAAAUGUAAGUUUCUUUAAUGAUUCUAGUGCCUGCAUGGUUCAUUUUUAUUCUCAUAUUGAAUCUACUUGAAAUUCUUAAUCUACUUUCGGUUUCUAAAUUCCUUAAUAUUAAUGAAAAGUGUGUAAAUAUUCGUGUGACGCCGAAAAGAACCCAACAUUAUAUUUUCCGUCCGACUCUAGGGCGUCUAGGCGUCCGUGGUGCGUGGAUGCUAAGGGCUGUCACUAGAUAGGGGACGGGUGAUCAAAGAUAAAUUUGUAACACCUUUUCUU